AUGGUAGACAAAACCCACUACACUGAUGGCUCCGAAUUAACUUAUAAGGAGAAAAGUCAUCUAAUUGCUUAUUGUACUUUUCUUGAGAAUUACAAUACCUAUUAUCGAACUCCUCCAAAUUAUGGUGAAUACAUGCCACUAGUGCACGUGUUGAACCGCGGUAACUUCAAUGGAGAUACCCUGGUAAGAUUUUUUACUAUUACGACAUCCGUGCAUCUUUUGCAUACUUCUAAAACUAGUACAUCAUUGCUAACUACGAAGUUAUUACUAUGUUUUUCAAUAGAAAAUCCUGAUGGAUUGUGUGCCUCAUCUGAUGUAUCAGAAUGGUCGCCUUGCAGUUAUGAAUAUAUAGCCAGGUGA
rnacentral:rRNA from 1 species